ACAACCUCAACUCCUUUUCAACGCGCAUCGUGUGAGGAAAGGGGGUUGGAUUUGAGCAUAUCCACCAAGUCCACAAUAGUGUGUUUUGGAGGAUGCUUGAAAUUUGAGGUUCGGCCGGCAGUACCUGGGCUACAAGCAUUUCAUACUUAAUCCCGUUAAACGGAUUAUAUCCUUUGCUGCAGCCAACAUACAGGGUAAUUGUCCAGUGUCCGACUGAUGCAGGAAAGUUGAGACUUGCUCUCUUCUAA
rnacentral:misc_RNA from 1 species